UGAAGGGUGCAGGAUCAAGAAAGCAGUGUUUUGUCUUCUUUACUUUUCUAUCUUUUCCUUUCUUUUCUUAACAACGGGAGAGAUCUGACCACUAUUUGCUAAGCUGGAAGGAAGGAGCCAGUGGAGAUCUUGAGAAAAGGGCCAAAGAAACAGCAGACACCUCAGUCCUGAUAUCCAGAGCCACAAAGCCAACGCCAGCAACCGGGCUUCUCAUUACACAAGAAAAAACAAGCACCUGUCUUGUUUAAGGCGCUGUUACUUGAGUUUUCUGUUUCAUGCACUGAAGUGAAUCCCUGAGACAUCUGUAAAGCUGCGCUAACACAGUGCUGUCAGUUCCUGGAGUCACCCCGCUUACCUGUCUGCAUAAAAGGAUGCACUGCUUCCACACAUGGAUUUUGCUAAAUUUUACAUUUCAGCACCUUAAUAAAAGUCAUUAGGCAAAUCCAAUUUUGUCUAUAUGUGAAAACCUUUUGAGAGAGUGGGUCCCAUAAGAAGAGCACAGCAUCUGUUUAGUGAAAAGGCAAGACAACGAGAGAAAGGAAGGUCGGCGUCCUCAGAGACAGAUUCCUUCACAACAGAGCACUGAAAAGGAAUUAGGC
rnacentral:lncRNA from 1 species